GCGCGCGUGGCGGAAUUGGCAGACGCGCCGGGUUUAGGUCCCGGUGGUGGCAACACCGUGAAGGUUCAAGUCCUUUCGCGCGCACCA
rnacentral:tRNA from 1 species